rnacentral:rRNA from 1 species
UACGGAGGGUGCAAGCGUUAUCCGGAUUUACUGGGUUUAAAGGGUGCGUAGGUGGGUUGGGAAGUCAGUGGUGAAAUACUUUCGCUUAACGAAGGAACUGCCAUUGAUACUAUUAAUCUUGAAUGUAGUGGAGGUAGGCGGAAUGCGUCAUGUAGCGGUGAAAUGCUUAGAUAUGACGCAGAACACCAAUUGCGAAGGCAGCUUGCUACACUACUAUUGACACUGAGGCACGAAAGCGUGGGGAUCAAACAGG